UACGUAGGGGGCAAGCGUUGUCCGGAAUCAUUGGGCGUAAAGAGCGCGUAGGCGGCCCGGUAAGUCCGCUGUGAAAGUCAAAGGCUCAACCUUUGAAUGUCAGCGGAUACUGCCGGGCUAGAGUCCGGAAGAGGCGAGUGGAACUCCUGGUGUAGCGGUGGAAUGCGCAGAUAUCAGGAAGAACACCAACGGCGAAGGCAGCUCGCUGGGACGGAACUGACGCUGAGACGCGAAAGCGUGGGGAGCGAACAGG
rnacentral:rRNA from 1 species